UCCUGCCACUAGGGCGGCGGGGAAGUCUGGGCCGGCCUGUUGGCGUUGCGGGGACCCCGGACAUUUCAUUGACCGGUGCCCGGUGAUGGAGGUCGGGGCACUGAUCCGGGUCCCGGACGACCCACAGGCUGCCCCCGAUCAAGCUGGCCGGUACCAAAUACCUUGAUUGGCCUGGAGAGACCGUAAAAGGCCUCAGGGGAAACAGAGAGA